rnacentral:rRNA from 1 species
GACGAACCGUCCAAACGUUAUUCGGAAUUACUGGGCUUAAAGGGUGCGUAGGCGGCGCGGAAAGUUGGGUGUGAAAUCCCUCGGCUCAACCGAGGAACUGCGCUCAAUACUACCGUGCUCGAGGGAGAUAGAGGUGAGCGGAACUUAGGGUGGAGCGGUGAAAUGCGUUGAUAUCCUAAGGAACACCGGUGGCGAAAGCGGCUCACUGGAUCUCUUCUGACGCUGAGGCACGAAAGCUAGGGUAGCAAACGGGAUUAGAUACCCCGGUAGUCCUAGCCGUAAACGAUGAGCACUGGAUUGAAGGGUCCUCCAUAGCCUUUCAGUCGCAACGAAAGCGUUAAGUGCUCCGCCUGGGGAGUAUGGUCGCAAGGCUGAA